rnacentral:rRNA from 1 species
GUCGAACGCUGGCGGCGUGCUUAACACAUGCAAGUCGAACGAGUGGCGAACGGGUGAGUAAUGUCUGGGAAACUGCCCGAUGGAGGGGGAUAACUACUGGAAACGGUAGCUAAUACCGCAUACCAUCGGAUGUGCCCAGAUGGGAUUAGCUUGUAGGUGGGGUAACGGCUCACCUAGGCGACGAUCCCUAGCUGGUCUGAGAGGAUGACCAGCCACAAUGGAACUGAGACACGGUCCAGACUCCGACGGGAGGCAGCAGUGGGGAAUAUUGCACAAUGGGCGCAAGCCUGAUGCAGCCAUGCCGCGUGUAUGAAGAAGGCCUGCGGGGUGUAAAGUACUUUCAGCGGUGAGGCGUUACUCGCAGAAGAAGCACCGGCUAACUCCGUGCCAGCAGCCGCGGUAAUAC